AUUGAACGCUGGCGGCAUGCCUUACACAUGCAAGUCGAACGGCAGCAUGGAGAGCUUGCUCUCUGAUGGCGAGUGGCGAACGGGUGAGUAAUGCAUCGGAACGUACCGUGUAAUGGGGGAUAACGUAGCGAAAGUUACGCUAACACCGCAUACGACCUGAGGGUGAAAGCAGGGGAUCGCAAGACCUUGCGUUAUACGAGCGGCCGAUGUCGGAUUAGGUAGUUGGUGAGGUAAAGGCUCACCAAGGCGACGAUCUGUAGCGGGUCUGAGAGGAUGAUCCGCCACACUGGGACUGAGACACGGCCCAGACUCCUACGGGAGGCAGCAGUGGGGAAUUUUGGACAAUGGGGGCAACCCUGAUCCAGCCAUGCCGCGUGAGUGAAGAAGGCCUUCGGGUUGUAAAGCUCUUUCGGCCGGGAAGAAAUCGCACAGGCUAAUACUCUGUGUGGAUGACGGUACCGGCAUAAGAAGCACCGGCUAACUACGUGCCAGCCGCCGCAGUAA
rnacentral:rRNA from 1 species